rnacentral:piRNA from 1 species
AUGGCUCAGAGGAUAAGAGCACUGGC